rnacentral:tRNA from 1 species
AUAGCUCAGUCGGUAGAGCGCAUGACUGUUAAUCAUGAUGUCACUGGUUCGAGCCCAGUU